rnacentral:rRNA from 1 species
ACUCAAAUGAAUAGACGGGGGCCCGCACAAGCGGUGGAGCAUGUGGUUCAAUUCGACGCAACGCGAAGAACCUUACCUAGGCUCGAACGGUCGUGGACUGGGGUGGAAACAUCCUUUUCCCGCAAGGGACUGCGAUCGAGGUGCUGCAUGGCUGUCGUCAGCUCGUGUCGUGAGAUGUUGGGUUAAGUCCCGCAACGAGCGCAACCCUUGUCCUUAGUUGCUAACGUUAAGUCGAGCACUUUAGGGAGACUGCCGGCGAUAAGCCGGAGGAAGGUGGGGAUGACGUCAAGUCAUCAUGGCCUUUAUGUCUAGGGCUACACACGUGCUACAAUGGGCGGUACAACGCGCUGCUAACCCGCGAGGGGGAGCCAACCGCAAAAAACCGUCCUCAGUUCGGAUUGCAGUCUGCAACUCGACUGCAUGAAGCUGGAAUCGCUAGUAAUGGCGGAUCAGCACGCCGCCGUGAAUACGUUCCCGGGCCUUGCACACACCGCCCGU